UCCUUACUUUUUGUGCUAUGUUUAUUUGCACAGCGGUAAGUCUUAGAAUAAGGUAAGUAAGGUAGGUAUUACUGUAGGUUAAGGGAGGUCCCAGACUAACUUAAAUUAUUAAAGGUAAAUAUUAGGGUUAAGUAUUAAGGUAGGAGGGAGGCGAAUGUUAAGUUGGGGUUGGGUAGAUAGUUAAUCAAGCACUUCUGAGGCUAAUUGCGUAGGGAAAUUUUGGGCUGAGGCCCUAGAUCAAGAGUAGGUAGGUCUAAAAGUAAGUUAAAGGUUUCUUAGGUAUUUUGGAGUUUCCAGUCCAGAGUUUCUUCAGCUUCUAUGGUCUGUAGGGUUGUCCUAGGUCCCGGUGCAUCCACGGCCUAGCCACCUAAGUUGGACUAGGGGAUGGAGAAUUUGGGGGUUGUGAGAAAAUUUGAAGGAGACUGAUUGUUUGGGGGCAAAGGUCAGAUUCGUCAUGUGUGGUGCAUUGUGGGCUGUUGCAUGAAUGAGGCUAACCCUCAUAGAAGACUGGGCCAUGUUCAAGGUCCUGCCGCCCUGGACCACCACACCCUGCGUGCUGCCCUAUAAAUUAAGAUAUUAUUGGUGGUUCAUUUUCUAUUGAUGAACUUUAUCAAUUUAACAUUGUAGCUCCACUUCAAACCCUGCCCAUAUUACAUGUGACGUUUUUGCUUGACUGUUAUUUUGUAAAAUAAUCAGAAGUUCAUAUUCAUGUGUUUUGUGCACAUCUAGGACUAAAUCACUCACUCACCAGGAGGCGGCUAUUGUAUUGGAUCAAACUGACUGAGUGACAUUGCCCUUUGUACAGCAAUCAGAGUCUAGGAACAAAAUGUUCAUGAAAAUGAGAUGCACUCUGGCCCUUCGUAGUCUUCCGGUGUAUCAGCGCGAGGGAUCUCUGAGUUCUUCAAGACCAGCAGCGUAACUUCUCAGUACACUCAAAGAAAUGUCAAUAUCUAUCAGUACAGUGUUGACAUAGCAUAUUGUAUGGGAAACGAACUUGAACGCCUCCUGUAGCAUUCUCAAAAUUUAAGUAAAUUCAAGGAUAGGUUUGGACUUUUUCAAGUCUAUCUCAAUACAAUAUUCAAA